AAAGGGGCCUCACGGCUGUGGCUGGAGAGAGACUCCUUCAGGCCUCCCCCCACAAGGAGCGCACUCAUGAACAUGCCACUUCUGGAUGAGUUCUCUUUAUCUGCUUAGGAGUGUUCGACAGCACAGCACUUCUGUUUAUUUUCUGCUGAGGUUAAACAGAUGCACAGGUCUGUUAGGCCACAGGGCCUAGUUCAAGAUGAAGCAGGAAGACGGAUGUGCUUUAAUCUGAAGCCAAGAGGUCCUCUGCUCUACAGACAGUGAUGUAGUCUCCAGAAAUUGGCCAUGAUCUCAAAAAUCAUCAUUUCUUCGCUAAAUAGUAUCACGUCUGUCUGGAAUAGAAGUGGAACCCUUGCAAAGAUCAGAAGGCUAUGUCCCUACAGCAAGAAAAUUGAUACCAUGAAACAGCAAUUCUCUUUGAAGCUCAGAGAAGAAGUCCACUGAGGAAAGUUAAACACAGAAAAGUCAAAAUUGGCCAAGAGUGUGUGGGCGGGGAUAAGUCAGCAUCUGUAACCAUUUCCAGCAAAAGCUUAAUUUUUAGCAGUGGAGAGUUGUCAAAAGAACUAAUGAAGUCGUGUUUUCCUUCCCCAAACCUCCUGUCCUAAAUGGCUCGCAUGGUAACUGGUUAGUUGGGUCAGAGGCACUCACAGGCCAAAGGCCGUUUGUCCAAGCAUCUGUAGAGUACAUGGACUGAAUUACUCUUGGACACAACCCAACGGCGCAGUGUGGGACAGAGUUGGCUGGGCUUAGUUUCAUAACAAUAAUCAAACAUUCACAGCAGCUGAGAAUAAACUUUGC